rnacentral:misc_RNA from 1 species
GAUGAAGAACGUAGCGAAAUGCGAUAAGUAAUGUGAAUUGCAGAAUUCCGUGAAUCAUCGAAUCUUUGAACGCACAUUGCGCCCCCUGGCAUUCCGGGGGGCAUGCCUGUCCGAGCGUCAUUUCUGCCCUCCAGCCCGGCUGGGUGUUGGGCGCUGUCCCCCCGGGGACACGCCCCAAAGGCAGUGGCGGCGCCGCGUCGGGUCCUCGAGCGUAUGGGGCUUUGUCACCCGCUCGGGACGGACUCGUCGGCGCUGGUCUUCCUCCAGGCGACCCUUCGGGGCUCGUCUUCCUUCGGUUGACCUCGGAUCAGGUAGGGUUACCCGCUGAACUUAAGCAUAUCAAUAAGCCGGAGGA